ACGAACGCUGGCGGCAUGCCUAACACAUGCAAGUCGAACGAGACCUUCGGGUCUAGUGGCGCACGGGUGCGCAACGCGUGGGAACCUGCCCUUAGGUUCGGAAUAACUCCCCGAAAGGGGUGCUAAUACCGGAUAAUGUCUUCGGACCAAAGAUUUAUCGCCUUUGGAUGGGCCCGCGUUGGAUUAGCUAGUUGGUAGGGUAAAAGCCUACCAAGGCGACGAUCCAUAGCUGGUCUGAGAGGAUGAUCAGCCACACUGGGACUGAGACACGGCCCAGACUCCUACGGGAGGCAGCAGUGGGGAAUAUUGGACAAUGGGCGAAAGCCUGAUCCAGCAAUGCCGCGUGAGUGAUGAAGGCCUUAGGGUUGUAAAGCUCUUUUACCCGGGAUGAUAAUGACAGUACCGGGAGAAUAAGCUCCGGCUAACUCCGUG
rnacentral:rRNA from 1 species